UCUAGCGCCUGGUGCCUGACUCCCAGCCAUUCACACGCCCUGACACACUUCCCCGGUGCCAGGUCGUCAAUGGAUGGGGAUCAGGAAUCAGGGGCUCGGCUCC
rfam:Leifsonia sp. Root112D2 contig_2, whole genome shotgun sequence.